rnacentral:rRNA from 1 species
AAAUUAUCGGUAGGGGAGCGUUCUGUUGUAGGUUGAAGCGUUAGUGAAAACGGGCGUGGACGAAGCAGAAGUGAGAAUGUCGGCUUGAGUAGCGAAAACAUUGGUGAGAAUCCAAUGCCCCGAAAACCUAAGGAUUCCUCCGGAAGGCUCGUCCGCGGAGGGUUAGUCAGGACCUAAGGCAAGGCCGAUUUGGCGUAGUCGAUGGAUAACAGGUAGAUAUUCCUGUACCACUUUUUAUUGAUAAUGAGGGACGGAGCAGGCUAGUUCAGCCGGAUGUUGGUUACCGGUUUAAGCGUUUAGAUGUUGAGAAGUAGAGAAAAUACUUUGAGUUAAGACGUGAAUAGGAGAUACUUAAUCGUAUUGAAGUGAAUGAUGUCAUACUUCCAAGAAAAGCUCAAUCUAUCUUAAAUAUAAAGUGCCUGUACCAUAAACCGACACAGGUGGGUAAGUAGAGAAUACUAAGGGGCGCGAGAUAACUCUCUCUAAGGAACUCGGCAAAAUAACCCCGUAACUUUGGGAGAAGGGGUGCCUAUUUAGGCUGCAAUAACAAGGUCCAAGCGACUGUUUACCAAAAACACAGGUCUCCGCAAAGUCGCAAGACAAUGUAUGGGGGCUGACGCCUGCCCAGUGCCGGAAGGUUAAGGAAGUUGGUUAGCUUUAUGCGACGCUAGCGACUGAAGCCCCGGUGAACGGCGGCCGUAACUAUAACGGUCCUAAGGUAGCGAAAUUCCUUGUCGGGUAAGUUCCGACCUGCACGAAAGGCGUAACGAUUUGGACACUGUCUCGGAGAGAGGCUCGGUGAAAUAGACUUGUCUGUGAAGAUGCGGACUACCUGCACCUGGACAGAAAGACCCUAUGAAGCUUUACUGUAGCUUGGAAUUGACUUCAAACUUUAUUUGCGUAGGAUAGGUGGGAGGCUAUGAAGAUGAUCUUCUGGGAUUAUUGGAGCCAUCCUUGAAAUACCACCCUAAUAAUGUGAGAAUUCUAACUUUUCGCUGUGAAUCCAGCUGAAGGACAUUUUCAGGUGGUCAGUUUGACUGGGGCGGUCGCCUCCCAAAAGGUACGGAGGCGUACAAAGGUUUCCUCAAAUCGGUCAGAAAUCGAUUGUAGAGCGCAAAGGCAAAAGGAAGCUUGACUGUGAGACCUACAAGUCGAACAGGGACGAAAGUCGGUCUUAGUGAUCUGACGGUACCAAGUGGAAGGGCCGUCACUCAACGGAUAAAAGUUACUCUAGGGAUAACAGGCUGAUCUCCCCCAAGAGUUCACAUCGACGGGGAGGUUUGGCUACCUCGAUGUCGGCUCGUCGCAUCCUGGGGCGGUAGCACGUCCCAAGGGUUGGGCUGUUCGCCCAUGAAAGCGGUACGCGAGCUGGGUUCAGG